GAUGAACGCUGGCGGCGUGCCUAAUACAUGCAAGUCGAGCGAACAGACGAGGAGCUUGCUCCUCUGACGUUAGCGGCGGACGGGUGAGUAACACGUGGAUAACCUACCUAUAAGACUGGGAUAACUUCGGGAAACCGGAGCUAAUACCGGAUAAUAUAUUGAACCGCAUGGUUCAAUAGUGAAAGACGGUUUUGCUGUCACUUAUAGAUGGAUCCGCGCCGCAUUAGCUAGUUGGUAAGGUAACGGCUUACCAAGGCAACGAUGCGUAGCCGACCUGAGAGGUUUAUCGGCCACACUGGAACUGAGACACGGUCCAGACUCCUACGAGAGGCAGCAUUAGGGAAUCUUCCGCAAUGGGCGAAAGCCUGACAAAGCAACGCCGCGUGAGUGAUGAAGGUCUUCGGAUCGUAAAACUCUGUUAUUAGGGAAGAACAAAUGUGUAAGUAACUAUGCACGUCUUGACGGUACCUAAUCAGAAAGCCACGGCUAACUACGUG
rnacentral:rRNA from 1 species